rnacentral:lncRNA from 1 species
GGGUUACCACUCCUCAGGGAAAUGCUUUGCAGCUGUACUGUAAGAGUGCCCUUCACUAUUUAAUACUUACAGGAAAAGGAACUUAUCUACUAUACAGAGGAGGAAACUGCAGCUCACAGAAGCUGUCACCUUUCUCCUGCUUAGGCAAACUUUGUUCAAGACCUUGUUUCAUGCCAGGGUGGACCCAUAAGCAAGGAGUUUACGCAAUGAUUGAAGCAUCAGCAUUUUUGUUUUGAGAAUUUACAAGGCACUCCAAGGGCUCAAGG